rnacentral:rRNA from 1 species
GUGUCAGCCGCCGCGGUAAUACCAGCACCCCGAGUGGUCGGGACGAUUAUUGGGCCUAAAGCAUCCGUAGCCGGUUCUGCAAGUCUUCCGUUAAAUCCACCUGCUUAACAGUUGGGCCGCGGAGGAUACUACAGGGCUAGGAGGCGGGAGAGGCAAGCGGUACUCAAUGGGUAGGGGUAAAAUCCACUGAUCCAUUGAAGACCACCAGUGGCGAAGGCGGCUUGCCAGAACGCGCUCGACGGUGAGGGAUGAAAGCUGGGGGAGCAAACCGGAUUAGAAACCCUCGUAGUCC